rnacentral:rRNA from 1 species
UGGGGAAUUUUGCACAAUGGGGGAAACCCUGAUGCAGCGACGCCGCGUGAUUUAGAAGGCCUUCGGGUUGUAAAAAUCUUUUCUAUGGGAAGAAAAUGACAGUACCAUAGGAAUAAGGACCGGCUAAUUACGUGCCAGCAGCCGCGGUAAUACGUAAGGUCCGAGCGUUGUCCGGAAUCAUUGGGCGUAAAGGGUACGUAGGCGGGUAAGCAAGUUAGAAGUGAAAUCCUAUAGCUCAACUAUAGUAAGCUUUUAAAACUGCUCAUCUUGAGGUAUGGAAGGGAAAGUGGAAUUCCUAGUGUAGCGGUGAAAUGCGAAGAUAUUAGGAGGAGUACCGGUGGCGAAGGCGACUUUCUGGCCAUAACCUGACGCUGAGGUACGAAAGCGUAGGUAGCAAACAGG